rnacentral:rRNA from 1 species
AUCAGCCUUUUGGGUGUGAUUUUGUGGAGCGUGAGGAGUUAAACGCCUUCAUGCCUGCAUAUUCGUGCACUUUGGGUGUACUUGCCCGUAUGGUUGGUUAACAUCAAUUUUGGUGGUCAUAAAAUGACUGGAGGAAUGUAGCUUCGAUCUCGUAUUGAAGUGUUAUAGCCUUCGGUAGAUGUGAUGAUCGAGAUUGAGGAUUGCAACGGAUACCCUUCGGGGCUACCUGUCUGGUCUCUGAUCGUUGCUCUGGUGCCGAAAGCUUGCUUACGGCUAUCAAAGUCGAUGGUCAAUAGGUUAGAACGGGUUAAAUUCGUUAAGGAUGUUGACGUAAUGGCUUU